GAUGAACGCUAGCUACAGGCUUAACACAUGCAAGUCGAGGGGCAGCGGUAUCGAAAGCUUGCUUUCGGUAGCCGGCGACCGGCGCACGGGUGAGUAACGCGUAUCGAACCUGCCUCAUACUCGGGAAUAGCCUUGCGAAAGUAAGAUUAAUGCCCGGUGUUUUCAGAGUCCCGCAUGAGGCUUUGAACAAAGAUUUAUUGGUGUGAGAUGGCGAUGCGUCCCAUUAGCUUGUUGGCGGGGUAACGGCCCACCAAGGCAUCGAUGGGUAGGGGUUCUGAGAGGAAGGUCCCCCACAUUGGAACUGAGACACGGUCCAAACUCCUACGGGAGGCAGCAGUGAGGAAUAUUGGUCAAUGGGCGGAAGCCUGAACCAGCCAAGUAGCGUGCAGGAAGACGGCCCUCCGGGUUGUAAACUGCUUCUAGUUGGGAAUAAAACGGGGCUCGUGAGCCCCCUUGCAUGUACCAUCAGAAAAAGGACCGGCUAAUUCCGUGCCAGCAGCCGCGGUAA
rnacentral:rRNA from 1 species